GAUCAUGGCUCAGGAUGAACGCUGGCGGCAUGCCUAACACAUGCAAGUCGAACGGAGCUAUUAUGGAAGCUUGCUUUGUUUUAGCUUAGUGGCGGACGGGUGAGUAACGCGUGAGAAACCUGCCCUUGAGUGGGGAAUAACACCGAGAAAUCGGUGCUAAUACCGCAUAAUGUCACGGGAUCGCAUGUUCUUGUGACCAAAGGAUUUAUUCGCUUAAGGAUGGUCUCGCGUCCGAUUAGUUAGUUGGUGAGGUAACGGCUCACCAAGACCGCGAUCGGUAGCCGAACUGAGAGGUUGAUCGGCCACAUUGGGACUGAGACACGGCCCAGACUCCUACGGGAGGCAGCAGUGGGGAAUAUUGGGCAAUGGGGGAAACCCUGACCCAGCAAUGCCGCGUGAAGGAUGAAGGUCUUCGGAUUGUAAACUUCUUUGAUUGGGGAAGAAUAAAUGACCUACCCAAAGAACAAGUCACGGCUAACUACGUGCCAGCCGCCGC
rnacentral:rRNA from 1 species